rnacentral:tRNA from 1 species
AGAUUUUUAGUUUAUAAAAAAUAAUUCAUUUACAGUGAGUAGAAUAAUGUUAAUAAUUAAAAAUUUA